rnacentral:lncRNA from 1 species
GGAUUGUCGAUCCUGAGCAAUCAUAAUGACCCUCACCAUUCACCAGUGAUACCUAGCAGUAUGUAGUGACAAUCCAGUAGAAUCAAAAAAAAAUUUCAAGAUGUAGUUCACAUAUGAUUCAGUUCCUUUAUCGUGAGUUCCGACUAGAUGGCAAGUCAUGAAUAAAUCGUCAAACCUUAUCAUUAGUCAUAUGAUAGAUUCGAUCAGCUCAAGUCCAAUUGCAAUCUUUAUGAAAAUUCUUUUCUACUAAUAACACUGCUGUGGCCACAGACUCUCGGACUUAGCCUCUCAAAUCUCAUAAGACUACUCCUCUCUAUCAAAGUUGAUAGAUUCUAUCUAGAUGCACAUCCUACUCCUACAGUGGACCAACUAUCAUCAAUAUCUACUACAAGGACUCAUUG